rnacentral:rRNA from 1 species
AAAAGCUUUCUUUAAUUGAAUAAUUGAAUUUAAUUUUUUAGUGCAAAAGCAAAAAUAAAAAUUAGGGACAAGAAGACCCUAUGAAUUUUUAUUAAAUUUUAUAAAACUUUAUAUAAAAUUUAAUUUAAUUGGGGUGAUGGAAAAAGAAUAAAUAUCUUUUUUUUUUAAAAAAAAUUGGUUCCGUUUUUAGCGAUUAAAUGAAAAAAAUACUCUAGGGAUAACAGCGUAAUAAUUUUGGAUAGUUCAUAUAGAUAAAAUAGUUUGCGACCUCGAUGUUGGAUUAGGAUUCUUUUUUGGUGAAGAAGUUAAAAAAAGAAGUUUGUUCAACUUAUAAUUUCCUACUUGAUCUGAGUUCAGACCGG